GAUGAAGAACGUAGCGAAAUGCGAUACUUGGUGUGAAUUGCAGAAUCCCGUGAACCAUCGAGUCUUCGAACGCAAGUUGCGCCUCAAGCCAUUAGGUUGAGGGCACGUCUGCCUGGGCGUCACAUAUCGUUGCCUGAUGCCAGUUUCCUCGUGAUGGGUGACUGUGCAGGGCGAAUGAUGGCUUCCCGUGAGCAUUGUUGCCUCAUGGUUGGUUGAAAAUUGAGUCCUUGGUAGGGAGCGCCGUGAUAGAUGGUGGUUGAGUGACGAACGAGACCCAAUCAUGUGAGACCCCUACCGAAUUUGGCCUUCAUGACCCACAUGCGUCUUUGGAACGCUCAUGACGAGACCUCAGGUCAGGCGGGGCUACCCGCUGAGUUUAAGCAUAUCAAUAAGCGGAGGA
rnacentral:misc_RNA from 1 species